UGCUCUCUUGGCGGCGAGUGGCGGACGGGUGAGUAAUAUAUCGGAACGUGCCCAGUAGCGGGGGAUAACUACUCGAAAGAGUGGCUAAUACCGCAUACGCCCUACGGGGGAAAGGGGGGGAUCGCAAGACCUCUCACUAUUGGAGCGGCCGAUAUCGGAUUAGCUAGUUGGUGGGGUAAAGGCUCACCAAGGCAACGAUCCGUAGCUGGUUUGAGAGGACGACCAGCCACACUGGGACUGAGACACGGCCCAGACUCCUACGGGAGGCAGCAGUGGGGAAUUUUGGACAAUGGGGGAAACCCUGAUCCAGCCAUCCCGCGUGUAUGAUGAAGGCCUUCGGGUUGUAAAGUACUUUUGGCAGAGAAGAAAAGGUAUCCCCUAAUACGGGAUACUGCUGACGGUAUCUGCAGAAUAAGCACCGGCUAACUACGUGCCAGCAGCCGCGGUAAUACGUAGGGUGCAAGCGUUAAUCGGAAUUACUGGGCGUAAAGCGUGUGUAGGCGGUUCGGAAAGAAAGAUGUGAAAUCCCAGGGCUCAACCUUGGAACUGCAUUUUUAACUGCCGAGCUAGAGUAUGUCAGAGGGGGGUAGAAUUCCACGUGUAGCAGUGAAAUGCGUAGA
rnacentral:rRNA from 1 species